AAAUUGAAGAGUUUGAUCAUGGCUCAGAUUGAACGCUGGCGGCAGGCCUAACACAUGCAAGUCGAGCGGUAGCACAGAGAGCUUGCUCUCGGGUGACGAGCGGCGGACGGGUGAGUAAUGUCUGGGAAACUGCCUGAUGGAGGGGGAUAACUACUGGAAACGGUAGCUAAUACCGCAUAACGUCGCAAGACCAAAGUGGGGGACCUUCGGGCCUCAUGCCAUCAGAUGUGCCCAGAUGGGAUUAGCUAGUAGGUGGGGUAAUGGCUCACCUAGGCGACGAUCCCUAGCUGGUCUGAGAGGAUGACCAGCCACACUGGAACUGAGACACGGUCCAGACUCCUACGGGAGGCAGCAGUGGGGAAUAUUGCACAAUGGGCGCAAGCCUGAUGCAGCCAUGCCGCGUGUGUGAAGAAGGCCUUCGGGUUGUAAAGCACUUUCAGCGGGGAGGAAGGCGAUAAGGUUAAUAACCUUGGCGAUUGACGUUACCCGCAGAAGAAGCACCGGCUAACUCCGUGCCAGCAGCCGCGGUAAUACGGAGGGUGCAAGCGUUAAUCGGAAUUACUGGGCGUAAAGCGCACGCAGGCGGUCUGUCAAGUCGGAUGUGAAAUCCCCGGGCUCAACCUGGGAACUGCAUUCGAAACUGGCAGGCUAGAGUCUUGUAGAGGGGGGUAGAAUUCCAGGUGUAGCGGUGAAAUGCGUAGAGAUCUGGAGGAAUACCGGUGGCGAAGGCGGCCCCCUGGACAAAGACUGACGCUCAGGUGCGAAAGCGUGGGGAGCAAACAGGAUUAGAUACCCUGGUAGUCCACGCCGUAAACGAUGUCGAUUUGGAGGUUGUGCCCUUGAGGCGUGGCUUCCGGAGCUAACGCGUUAAAUCGACCGCCUGGGGAGUACGGCCGCAAGGUUAAAACUCAAAUGAAUUGACGGGGGCCCGCACAAGCGGUGGAGCAUGUGGUUUAAUUCGAUGCAACGCGAAGAACCUUACCUGGUCUUGACAUCCACAGAACUUUCCAGAGAUGGAUUGGUGCCUUCGGGAACUGUGAGACAGGUGCUGCAUGGCUGUCGUCAGCUCGUGUUGUGAAAUGUUGGGUUAAGUCCCGCAACGAGCGCAACCCUUAUCCUUUGUUGCCAGCGGUUCGGCCGGGAACUCAAAGGAGACUGCCAGUGAUAAACUGGAGGAAGGUGGGGAUGACGUCAAGUCAUCAUGGCCCUUACGACCAGGGCUACACACGUGCUACAAUGGCAUAUACAAAGAGAAGCGACCUCGCGAGAGCAAGCGGACCUCAUAAAGUAUGUCGUAGUCCGGAUUGGAGUCUGCAACUCGACUCCAUGAAGUCGGAAUCGCUAGUAAUCGUAGAUCAGAAUGCUACGGUGAAUACGUUCCCGGGCCUUGUACACACCGCCCGUCACACCAUGGGAGUGGGUUGCAAAAGAAGUAGGUAGCUUAACCUUCGGGAGGGCGCUUACCACUUUGUGAUUCAUGACUGGGGUGAAGUCGUAACAAGGUAACCGUAGGGGAACCUGCGGUUGGAUCACCUCCUUA
rnacentral:rRNA from 1 species